UGGUAGACUCGUGGCACCGGGAGUAUAAAGGGCCAUCAUGGUGCCAUUGCUGCGGCAGAACUCGCUGGUCGGAUCCACGUCAAAACAUCUCUAUUUUGACGGUUCGUUUGCUGUUGGCGCACCGGUUCUGUCGACUCGUUAAGAUGCGUCCAGAUUACCUGUUCUUCGUGGCGUCUGCUGUGGUUGCCAUGGUGAUCGCAGACGCAGUGGCAGACACAGAGAGAUAUCAAGAUGUCGACCCUCCACAUAAGACGCCAGAGAGAAGAGGAAUUGAAGAUAAAGAAGGAGGAGGAGGAAUUGGAGAUAACGGAGGAGGAGGAGGAAUCGGAGAUAA